rnacentral:rRNA from 1 species
AUUGAACGCUGGCGGCAUGCUUUACACAUGCAAGUCGAACGGCAGCACGGGGGCAACCCUGGUGGCGAGUGGCGAACGGGUGAGUAACACAUCGGAACGUGCCCAGUUGUGGGGGAUAACCUAUCGAAAGGUAGGCUAAUACCGCAUGAGCUCGGCAAGAGGAAAGCGGGGGACUCAGCGAUGGGCCUCGCGCGACUGGAGCGGCCGAUGUCCGAUUAGCAGUUGGUGGGGUAAAGGCUUACCAAGGCGACGAUCGGUAGCUGGUCUGAGAGGAUGAUCAGCCACACUGGGACUGAGACACGGCCCAGACUCCUACGGGAGGCAGCAGUGGGGAAUAUUGGACAAUGGGCGCAAGCCUGAUCCAGCGAUGCCGCGUGUGUGAAGAGGCCUGCGGUUGUAAAGCACUUUCAGUAGGGAAGAAAGCCGAGUGCUAAUAUCACUC